AUCAGCCUGUAGGUAGUGUAAAGGACUACCUAGCGAUAACGGGUACCGGCGAUGUAAGUCGGAGCCGGGAGAAGGACACUUAGACAAGGGUCCUGGCACUACGGUGCGCAGCAAGCGCGAAACCUCUGCAAUACGCGAAAGCGUGACAGGGUAACCCCCAGUGCCCGCCUCUAAAGCGGGCUUUUCUUCAGCUUAGGGACCUGAAGGAAUAAGGCGAGGGCAAGGCUGGUGCCAGCCGCCGCGGUAAAACCAGCUCGUCAAGUGGUCAGGACCAUUAUUGAGGCUAAAGCGUCCGUAGAUGUUCUAGCAAACUCCUGGUUAAAUCCGUCUGCUCAACAGACGGGCUGCUAGGGGGACUACUAGAAUAGGAGACGGGAGAGGUCGAGGGUACUACGCGGGAAGGGGUGGAAUCCUAUAAUCCGUGUGGGACCACCAGUGGCGAAGGCGCUCGGCUAGAACGUGCUCGACAUUGAGGGACGAAACCUGAGGGAGAGAUCCGGAUUAGAUACCCGGGUAUUCUCAGGUGUAAACGAUGCCGGUUAGGUGUUGGCCCGGCCUAGA
rnacentral:rRNA from 1 species